rnacentral:rRNA from 1 species
UACAGAGGUGGCAAGCGUUGUUCGGAAUUACUGGGCGUAAAGGGCGCGUAGGCGGCUCGACAAGUCCCGCGUGAAAGCCCCCGGCUCAACUGGGGAACUGCGCGGGAAACUGUCGGACUUGAGUUCGGGAGAGGGAAGCGGAAUUCCGGGUGUAGCGGUGAAAUGCGUAGAUAUCAGGAGGAAUACCGGUGGCGAAAGCGACUCUCUGGACGGUAACUGACGCUGAGGCACGAAAGCGUGGGGAGCAAACAGG